GAGAGGUACAAAGAGAACCCAUUUCUUUGCCAGUGAGUCUUGAGAUGGGCAACAGAGUGCAGAAUUUCCAGCCGCAGUCUAUAUAUGUCUAUGACUACUAUGACCAAGAUGAGAAUGCAGUUGUAGAAGUCAGACAUCCAUGCUCUCUCUAGUCACCUUGCAGCAGUGGCUAGCGAAUGCCUGGUCCGUCAAUCAUCAAUGAAAGAAACAUUGGUUUUUCUGCAGUUUACUUGCCGUGACACCACUACAGCACCUAGAACAUUGCUCAUCUACUCACCCUUUCAGCUUAAAGAUUUUUUUAAGGAAUAAAUAACUGAUAUUUUCCUCUCUA